GGAAUGUAGCUCAAUGGUAGAGUGCUUGCCUAGUAUGUAUGAGAUCCUGGGUUCGAUUCCCAGCAAUGCCA
rnacentral:tRNA from 1 species